rnacentral:rRNA from 1 species
AAAACAUGUCUAUUUGGAGAUAUUAAUAGUCUGGCCUGCUCACUGACAUAUAGGUGUUAAAGAGCCGCGGUAAUUUGACCGUGCAAAGGUAGCAUAAUCAUUAGUUCUUUAAUUGAGAACUUGUAUGAAUGGUUGGACAAGAAAAAAUCUGUCUCUAUUGUUUUUAUAGAAGUUAACUUUUAAGUGAAAAGGCUUAAAUAUUUCAAGGGGACGAUAAGACCCUAUAAAGCUUUAUAUAUUUGGUAAACUUUAUUAAAUUGAUAAAUAAAAAUUUAGUCUAAGGGGUGUAUUUAGUUGGGGCGACGGAAGUAUAAUUUAUAGUAACUGCUUAAUAGUAAAACAAAAAUAAAUGAGUUAAUAGUAAUUGAUCCUUUUUAAAGAUAAAAGACUAAGUUACUUUAGGGAUAACAGCGUAAUUUUUUCUGAGAGUUCGUAUUAAAGAAGAAGUUUGCGACCUCGAUGUUGAAUUAAAAUAUCUUUAUGGUGCAGCAGCUAUAAAAAGAAGGUCUGUUCGACCUUUAAUUUUUUACGUGA